AUGAGCAGGAACGGCGGCAAGGUGUCGAAGCUGGAGAGCCUGAGGCUGAGCCUGUCGCGGGCGCGGGGCGGCGGCGGCGGGCAGUCGUCGACGGCGCGGCCGGGCGGCGGCGGUGGCAGCGGGAAUGGUGCCGUCAGCACGUCCCCGCGGCGGCUGUCAUCCUCGUCGUCGUCCACCGCGUCGCCGCCGAGCUCGUGCGUGUCGUCGGAGGGCAGCCCGGACGCGGCGGCCGGCGCGCCCAUGGUCCUGGCGGGCUGCCCGCGGUGCAUGAUGUACGUGAUGCUGUCCCGGGAGGACCCGCGGUGCCCCCGCUGCCACAGCGCCGUGCUGCUCGACUUCAACGACGACCAGCAGCAGCGCCGCCCACGCCAGCGCCGGUGA
rnacentral:rRNA from 1 species